AGACAAUUCAUCUUCAGUUUUAGGACAAGCAUCUGAUGUAAGAAUAAAAUGAUUUGCAAGAGGUAAAGAUACUGAUCUACAUUCAAACAUGUUAAAUUUUUUCAAAACUUUAUUCACAUAGUUUUGUUGAUUUAAGAACAGCAACCCUUUUUCUUUAUUUCUAACAAUUUGCAUACCAAGAAUCUUCUUGGCAGGGCCAAGAUCUUUCAUCUCAAAUUCAGAUUUAAGUUUUUGUUUAAUAUUUUCAAUUUCAGAUUUGCAGCUACUGGCAAGAAGCAUAUCAUCAACAUAGAGAAUCAAGUAAAGAGAAUUAUUAUUAUCUUUACCUUUAUGGUACAAACAUGUGUCAUAGCUACUUCUAUUAAAGCCAAGUUUUAACACAAAUGAGUCAAAACGUUUAUACCAUUGUCUAGGAGCUUGUUUUAGCCCAUACAAAGAUCUUUUUAAUAAACACACAGUUUUAUUUGGAUCACCCUUUUCAAAACCUACAGGUUGUCUCAUAUAGAUCAAUUCAUCUAAAUCACCAUACAAGAAGGCAGUUUUAACAUCUAAUUGAUCUAAUUCCCACUCAAAUUGAGCAACCAAAGCAAGAAUGCAUCUAAUAGUGGUAUAUUUAGCUACUGGGGAAAAAAUCUCAUCAUAGUCAACCCCUUGUUUUUGGGUAAACCCUUUAGCAACAAGUCUGGCCUUGUACCUAACAUUAUUGUUGCCCUCAUCCCCAUCUUUAAUUUUAUAUAUCCACUUGCAAUCAACUAAUUUCUUCUCCUUAGGUUUGUCAACCUGAUCCCAAGUCUUAUUCUUAUAUAAGGAGUCCAUUUCCUCCUCCAUGGCAGCUAACCAUUUCUUACUAUCAUUUGAUUUUAUAGCUUCAUAAUAAGAGUAAGGUUCAGUCUCAGUUUCAUCUUGAUAGGUGAAAAAGGAAGCAAAUUCAUCAGUAUUGUAUCUAGCAGGUGGCCUAAUUUGUCUCCUUUCCCUAUCCCGAGUUAAUUGGUAUCCAUCAGGAGGUAAAUCUAUGAUAUUAAUAGGUUCAGUCUCUCUCUGCUCAAUAUCAUUUUCAUUCAGAUUUAAAUCAGUAUUUUCAACUUCUAAUGGUACAUCAUUGUUAUUUCCAAAUUUAAUAGGCUCCACCUCAAUCUGAGCAUUAUUAUCAGAAACAUUUCUUUGAUUUCCUUCUAAACAUGGCAUGCAAGACUCAUUAAAAACAACAUCUCUUCUUAUAAUGACCCUAUAACCUUUCUCACUAUGUACCCACAGUCUAUAUCCCUUGACAUUUUCAGCAUAUCCCAAAAACACACAUUUUAGAGACCUAGGCUCAAGUUUCCCUAUGUUUUGAUGUGCAUAUGCAGCACAACCAAAAGUUUUCAAAUAUGAGUAAGUCACAGGUUUUUGAGACCACACAGAUUCAGGCACAUUAUAAUUCAAAGAACUUGUAGGACUUCUAUUAAUUAAAUAAGCAGCAGUUUUUACAGCCUCCCCCCAAAAUAAUUUUGGUAGUCGUGAGCUUAAAAGCAUGCAUCUGACCUUAUUUAAUAAUGUCCUAUUCAUCCUUUCAGCAGUGCCAUUUUGUUGAGGUGUAUAGGUGACAGUUUUAUGCCUUAAAAUGCCAUGUUCUUUACAGAAAUUAUCAAAGUCAUAAUUGCAAAACUCUAGCCCAUUGUCUGUUCUUAAUGUUUUGAUUUUUAAAUCAGUCUGAUUUUCAAUUUGGGUUUUCCAAUCUCUAAAAACAAUAAAAGUUUCAUCUUUAGUUUUCAAAAGAAAAACCCAUAUUUUCUUUGAAAAAUCAUCCACAAUCAGCAAGUAAUAUUUAAACCCAGACAAGGUAGAUGUAGAAGCUGGCCCCCACAAAUCAGCAUGAACAUACUCAAGAAUUUUCUUUGAUUUAAAGGUACUCAGUGAGAAUGGAAGUUUAGUUUGUUUGCCAAUCAAACACUCUUCACAAUUUGAAAUUUCACCAAUGUUUGAUUUUCCAAAAACACCUUUAGCUUUAAGAGCAUUCAAACCUUUUGUACCAAUGUGACCAAGUCUACCAUGCCAUAACUUUGCUAGAUUAAAAUCAUCAUUUAAAACUGCAUUAGACAGACCCAUAAGAGGUUUAGCAUUUAAGAAGUAUAGACCAUGUCUCUUUGGGAUAGAAGUGACUAAAUCACUUCCCCUAAAGAUUUUUAUUUGUCCUUGACCCAAUUUUAUGUCAAACUCCAUAUCAUCUAACAUUCCUAAGGAAAUUAAGUUUCUUUCUAAAUCUGGUACAAAUCUAGUAUUUUCUAAAAGUAAGAUUCUGCCAUUUUCUAAAAGAAGUUUUAUGGUUCCAAUGCCUUUAACUUUGCAAGUCAUGUUGUUCCCCAUGACAACUUGUCCUCCAUUAGACUUUUCAAAAUUUAGAAAGUAGUUUUUCUUAGGACACAUGUGGAAAGAACAUCCUGAAUCUAGGAUCCACUCUUGAUUUAAGUUUCUUUCAACAUUAACAAGGACUAAACCAUUGUCAGAUUGAAGUGUGUCGUAUGACAUAACAGUAUUUCCUUCACUGACUUUCUUCUCUUUAGAAUCAUUCUGUUUUUUAUAGCAAUCCUUAGCAAAGUGACCUAGUUUACCACAAUAAUAGCACUUUUUACCUUUUGCCUUAUUCUGAGAUCUAGCUUUAUCAAAAAACUUCUUUUUAGGUUCAUUAGAAAAUUUUGAAUGAAAGUUUGAUUUACCAACAAUUUUACUUUUUAUCAGUAAAUUUUCACCAUAUUGUUUAUUGGUAGACUCAGAUUUCAGUUCAAGUACCCUAUUUCUUAAAGCAGUUAUUAUAAUAUCAGUGGUGAGUUUAUCCCUACCAUACUCUAAGGCAUUUUUAAGGUCUUUGUGUCUGUCACUAAUGGAGUUCAACAAUACCACAGCCAACUGAUCUUCUGACAAUUCUUCAUCACAGUUGGUGAGGUCUUGGGUCAGUUUGGUAAACCUAUCAAGAUUUUCUUCCAAAUCUACUGAAGGAUCCAUUUUAAAUGAGAAAAACUGUUUUAGUAAAAAACAUUUGUUUGGGACAGUUUUUGGUUCAUAUUUAGCCUUCAACUUAGUCCAUAAGUCUUCUGCAGUUUUAGUUUCUCCUAUAGACCUGAUCACAUUGUCAGAAAGGUAUAAGAAGAUAGUACUCCAGGCUAUUUCUUCCAAUUCAGUUCUCUUAUCUUCUUCAAUACCAGUAGGCCAUGAAUUAUCAAGAGCUUUAGCACAUUUUAGUUGCAUCAAUACAGCUCUCAUUUUCUGACUCCACAUACUAAAGUCCCCCCUCCCAUCAUACAGUUUCAGUUCAAACUUAGCAGUAGCCAUACUGAGUAUAACACUUAGUUAAUACACAAUAUACAGUACUAAUGUUCAAGAAACACACAGGAACAUACACAGUUGGAGACAACAGCAAACUCAAGCUCUUUUUAGUGCCAAUCUAACAAUACACUUUAAACAAAUUUCUCAAGACAGUAAACAGUUAGUACUUAUUACAGGAGGCAGUAUUGUAACUGAAUAGAGAUUUCAAAAAACACUGUGCCUCGACUGACUUCUCCUACAAGAUCUUCCAAUUGUACUACUCACAGAAUUGUUAUCUCAGAUUCCCAAGACUUCAAGAGUCUUUGGACAAAGACCAAUCACUGGAGUUUUAAUAGUACAAGGUAAAUCAAGGGAAAAAUUCAGGAGUCAAGCAAUAUGAAAUUACUAAUUUCAAGAUACAGGAAAG
rnacentral:lncRNA from 1 species